AUGGUGUCGGACGCCAGCAAGAAGAAGGCGGUGCAGAAGAAGGCCGCCGCAGCCGCCAAGAGGGGCGCCAAGGUCCCCGCCUCCUCCGCAUCGUCUUCCGCCUCCAACAACAAGACGGGGGCCAAGGCCGCUGCCGACGCCCUCGCCGCCGUCCAGCUCGCGGACCGCACCUGCACCGCCGUCCUCACCUCCCACCAGCUCUCCCGGGACAUCCACAUAGAGUCUCUCACUUUAACAUUCCACGGCCACGAUCUACUUGUAGACACAGACCUGGAGCUCAACUACGGCAGGCGCUAUGGUUUGCUUGGUCUGAAUGGCUGCGGCAAGUCCUGCCUUCUCAAAGCAAUAGGGUGCAGGGAGCUUCCUAUCCCUGACCACAUGGAUAUAUACCACCUCAGCCAUGAGAUCGAGGCUUCAGACAUGUCUGCACUUGGAGCCGUCAUUAGCUGUGAUGAAGAAAGGGUCAAGCUCGAAAAGGAAGCUGAAGUUUUGGCUGCUCAAGAUGAUGGCGGUGGUGCAGCUUUGGAGCACGUAUAUGAGCGGUUAGAAGCAAUUGAUGCAUCCACCGCUGAAAAGCGUGCUGCUGAGAUUUUGUUUGGCUUAGGCCGAAAUGCUAGACAAUAUCCCUGUUUGAAGGGUGAUCCAUUAUCAAUGAAACUAGGAAAAAUGAACAAUGAUGAGCUCAUAGUUGUCAAUGAGUCAAUCGUUUUUAUUGUUUUUAAAAAAUGCCUUUCAAUUUUGCCAAGUUAA
rnacentral:rRNA from 1 species